UGGCCUACGGGACGCAGCAGUGGGGGAUAUUGGACAAUGGGGGAAACCCUGAUCCAGCGAUGCCGCGUGAGGGAAGAAGGUUUUCGGAUUGUAAACCUCUGUGGAGGGGGACGAUAAUGACGGUACCCCUUUAGGAAGCCACGGCUAACUACGUGCCAGCAGCCGCGGUAAUACGUAGGUGGCGAGCGUUGUCCGGAAUUACUGGGUGUAAAGGGAGGGUAGGCGGGAAAGCAAGUAAGAAGUGAAAACUAUGGGCUUAACCCAUGUCCUGCUUUUGAAACUGGUUUUCUUGAGUGAAGUAGAGG
rnacentral:rRNA from 1 species